rnacentral:tRNA from 1 species
GAUGCCGUACGGCCAGGUCGGGCCGGCGGGCCGCCACCUCGCGGAAACAGCGCUGCCACAGCGCGCCGUUGUUCGGUACGGCGUUGGCCUUG